GACGAACGCUGGCGGCGUGCUUAACACAUGCAAGUCGAACGGAAAGGCCCUGCUUGCAGGGUACUCGAGUGGCGAACGGGUGAGUAACACGUGGGUGAUCUGCCCUGCACUUCGGGAUAAGCUUGGGAAACUGGGUCUAAUACCGGAUAGGAGCCAUCUUUAGUGUGGUGGUUGGAAAGUUUUUUCGGUGUAGGAUGAGCUCGCGGCCUAUCAGCUUGUUGGUGGGGUAAUGGCCUACCAAGGCGGCGACGGGUAGCCGGCCUGAGAGGGUGUACGGCCACAUUGGGACUGAGAUACGGCCCAGACUCCUACGGGAGGCAGCAGUGGGGAAUAUUGCACAAUGGGCGCAAGCCUGAUGCAGCGACGCCGCGUGGGGGAUGAAGGCCUUCGGGUUGUAAACUCCUUUCGCUAGGGACGAAGCUUUUUGCGACGGUACCUAGAUAAGAAGCACCGGCUAACUACGUG
rnacentral:rRNA from 1 species